rnacentral:rRNA from 1 species
UACGGAGGGAGCAAGCGUUACUCGGAAUUAUUGGGCGUAAAGGGCGCGUAGGCGAUUUGAAAAGUCUUGCGUGAAAGCCCCGAGCUUAACUCGGGAAGUGCACAAGAAACUGUUGAAUUUGAGUUCCGGAGAGGAAGGCAGAAUUCCCGGUGUAGCGGUGAAAUGCGUAGAUAUCGGGAGGAAUACCAGUGGCGAAGGCGGCCUUCUGGACGGAUACUGACGCUGAGGCGCGAAAGCCAGGGGAGCAAACGGG